UACGGAAGGCAGCAGUGGGGAAUAUUGCACAAUGGGCGAAAGCCUGAUGCAGCUAUGCCGCGUGUAUGAAGAAGGUCUUAGGGUUGUAAAGUACUUUCAUCGGGGAGGAAAAACAAAACUAAUAAUUUUAUUUCUUGACGUUACCCGAAAAAGAAGCACCGGCUAACUCCGUGCCAGCAGCCGCGGUAAUACGGAGGGUGCUAGCGUUAAUCAGAAUUACUGGGCGUAAAGAGCACGUAGGUGGUUUUUUUAAGUCAGAUGUGAAAUCCCUGGGCUUAACCUAGGAAACUGCAUUUUGAAACUGAAAUACUAGAGUAUCGUAGAGGGAGGUAGAAUUCUAGGUGUAGCGGUGAAAUGCGUAGAUAUCUGGAGGAAUACCUGUGGCGAAAGCGGCCUCCUAAACGAAUACUGACACUGAGGUGCGAAAGCGUGGGGAGCAAACAGGGAUUAGAUACC
rnacentral:rRNA from 1 species